GCCUAAAGCGUCCGUAGCCUGCUUUGUAAGUUUUCGGUUAAAUCCAUAUGCUCAACAUAUGGGCUGCCGGAAAUACUGCACAGCUAGGGAGUGGGAGAGGUAGACGGUACUCGGUAGGAAGGGGUAAAAUCCUUUGAUCUAUCGAUGACCACCUGUGGCGAAGGCGGUCUACCAGAACACGUCCGACGGUGAGGGAUGAAAGCUGGGGGAGCAAACCGGAUUAGAUACCCGGGUAGUCCCAGCUGUAAACUAUGCAAACUCGGUGAUGCGUUGGCUUGUAGCCAGCGCAGUGCCGCAGGGAAGCCGUUAAGUUUGCCGCCUGGGAAGUACGUACGCAAGUAUGAAACUUAAAGGAAUUGGCGGGGGAGCACCACAAGGGGUGAAGCCUGCGGUUCAAUUGGAGUCAACGCCAGAAAUCUUACCCGGAGAGACAGCAGAAUGAAGGUCAAGCUGAAGACUUUACCAGACAAGCUGAGAGGUGGUGCAUGGCCGUCGCCAGCUCGUGCCGUGAGAUGUCCUGUUAAGUCAGGUAACGAGCGAGACCCUUGCCUCUAGUUGCCACCAUUACUCUCAGGAGUAGUGGGGCGAAUUAGCGGGACCGCUGCAGUUAAUGUGGAGGAAGGAAAGGGCCACGGCAGGUCAGUAUGCCCCAA
rnacentral:rRNA from 1 species